rnacentral:rRNA from 1 species
GAGGAAUAUUGGUCAAUGGGCGAGAGCCUGAACCAGCCAAGUCGCGUGAGGGAAGAAUGGUCUAUGGCCUGUAAACCUCUUUUGUCAAGGAAGAAUAAGCGGCACGAGUGCCACCUUGCCAGUACUUGACGAAUAAGCAUCGGCUAACUCCGUGCCAGCAGCCGCGGUAAUACGGGGGAUGCGAGCGUUAUCUGGAUUUAUUGGGUUUAAAGGGCGCGUAGGCGGGACGACAAGUCAGCGGUAAAAGACUGCAGCUAAACUGUAGCACGCCGUUGAAACUGUCGACCUGGAGACGAGACGAGGGAGGCGGAACAAGUGAAGUAGCGGUGAAAUGCGUAGAUAUCACUUGGAACCCCGAUAGCGAAGGCAGCUUCCCAGGCUCGAUCUGACGCUGAUGCGCGAGAGCGUGGGUAGCGAAC